CUGAGAGAAACAGGAAUUUGGGACUCUUGAGCCAGAUCAGAUUUCAAUACAUCAUUGCCAAUUUGCCUCAUGGAGAGUUUGUUGUUAGUCACAAACACAAUGACUCCUGUGACCAGAGUAACAAUUGUAAACAUCAUGGCAAGAAAAAAUAAAACCUGAGGGUGCGAUGUGUUCCACCCUCCCUUUUCCCCCAGCUGGAACUUUGUCAAGCAGCAUUGGAGGUCAGUCGGGCUUCUCCAGAAUUCACUUCUGAAGAAUUCAGCUCUUCUUUCUUCUGAAAGGAGGCUUACCAAUCAGAAUCAUGGGAAGGAAGUAACUUGGCAGACAUACUGAGCCAGAUUUCUGAGCAAAAAGAUUUUUCCUAAGGCUAGCUGACCUAACUGAAAAAGAGCCACCCCCAGCUCGAACCCCCUCCCACACCUAUGUCUUCCAUUGUCCUUUGUUCUCAGGAAGUGUCUGUAUCCAGUGUACUUUUCUAUCAAAUCAUGUAAACUAAAUGUAACUGCUCAACCAAUGAACUGAUGAUAAAUGCCUUGCUUAUGUAUCCCCACCCUCUUUCCCUUAGCCCAUAUAAACCCUGUUCACUGCCAGCUCAGGGCUGAUUGCUUUGUGGAGAAAUCCCCGAUCAGUCUGCUGGCGUAAUAAACUUGCCUCCAACCUGCGGUGCGGUUUUUUAUUCUUCUUGGCCUGAUCUUGCUCUACCACUAAGAGCUGCCACACUGCAAACUCUAAAUCUGCCAUUACGAUACUAAUCUCCAGGAGUUUAACGUCUCAAGCCCUAAUACACACCGCAGGCUUCUUUUCUGACAUAAAAACCUAGUUUUCCUCUCCAAAACUGUCAAGAGGAAAAAGCUUCAAGAUUAUAUCUAGAUCUAUGUAAACCACUAGAUUGCCUAUCUAGUAUUUCUCUUUUUCUGCAGAAAAUCACAGAAAGAAUAACACGAGGCAAGGUUUAGACAAGAAUCUGAUGACCGCCUGUAGACAAAAUUGUGCAAUCCCAGUUCCUGAUUUACUUUACAGCACGUUCAUCCAGCACGGCCCCACCCGCCCAAUUCCCAGGAAAGGGUUGCAAAUAUUUUUCAGUACUGGGUACUGAACACUGGGGGUACGGAGGGGCAUCCCCAGCCCUUUUCCCUUGUUUGUUUGGUGUUUUGGGUUUUUUUGUACCGGGGAUCGAACUCGGGUUCUUCCGUUUGCGAGUAGGUGGCGAAACCACUGAGCUAAAUCCCUGGCCCUUUCCCUUCUUGUUUAGAGACAAGGUCUCCCUAAAUUGCUCAGGCAGAGCUUAGAUUUACGAUCCUCCCGCCUCAGCCUCCCAGAC
rnacentral:lncRNA from 1 species